UACGGAGGGUGCAAGCGUUAAUCGGAAUUACUGGGCGUAAAGCGUGCGCAGGCGGUUUGUUAAGUCCGCUGUGAAAUCCCCGAGCUCAACUUGGGAAUUGCAGUGGAUACUGGCAAGCUGGAGUAUGGUAGAGGAGGGUGGAAUUCCCGGUGUAGCAGUGAAAUGCGUAGAGAUCGGGAGGAACACCAGUGGCGAAGGCGGCCUUCUGGACCAAUACUGACGCUCAUGCACGAAAGCGUGGGGAGCAAACAGG
rnacentral:rRNA from 1 species